UACACAGACGUACACAUAUAUAUAUGUAUGUAUGAACACAUAGGCGUCGAUACAAGGAGAUGCACUUUCCCUUGGAUUUUAUCGGCCGUUCUGCUACGCGGAUGUGAGAUCCUAAUCUCUAUUAGACUUCAAAUUCAACAGUGAUUGAAAAAGUACGUUUACUUCCUAGUAGAAUUAGAUAGUCGGAAGUGUAUUAGUUGAGCUUCGUUGUGAAACAUUAACGAAUAAUAGGUAAAAUAGGUAAAAUAGGUUUAAACAACGCGAAUUAGUUAAAUAAUUUUCUAUCAAAAUUCUUACCAAAUUGGAUAAAUCUCAAUGCUAGACAAUUAAGAGAUUGUGGAUCGUGACCACUUGCAAAAAAGGUGAUUUUAGUGGAUACUAAUGAGAAAAUACUUCUUAUAUAAGGACUAACAGUAAAUAUUUCUGCGUGAUAUAUUUUAAGUAUUAAGAAGAGACUAUGAGAAUAGAAAGCUGUGUGAAUGAAGAGUACAAUUGGCAAGUAGAUGGGUGAUGAUGAUGAUGAUUCCCUGUAACGUGAUAGAAGAUACAACUAAUUAACUAUGUUAUGUAUGCGUAUUUGAUUUUUAAAUAACAAAUACAAUGUUAUAUUCCAACAUUUCUCAAAGAGGAGAUAAAAAUAAAUUGUAAAGAAAGGGAACGAAACUAUUUCAAAAAGACAAACUAAACUAUAAAGGAUCCUUUCGAGUUUUUAAGGAUCACACACCACGAGUAUCCAAACUUGAUAUCCUCGAAGGCAAGAAAAAAGGAGAGAAAUAAGAAUGAUAGGGUCGACAACUUUUCGAGUGUGAAAGUAAUGUGCAUCGUUUGAUUCUCCUUUAUCGGAAAAUUUCCGCAUAUUCCGAAUACGUGACCGGUCCCAUGCAACGUGCUUUUAUUAUGUGUCCAUUGAACCCGAUAAUAUUGGAGAAAACAAAAUCGUUCAAAAUAAAUUUUUAGUCCUAUCUAAUCUUUAGUUUAUCGUAAUCUUUUUGUCCUUGUAGAUUUAUCAAUCGUGAAAAAUCGAUAAUGAAUAAUACAACGACAGACAUAUUUCUAUACUUGAAGAUCCGUAUUCUGAAUUUCAUUAAUACUAUUUCUAUCAUACCUUACUACUUUCAUAUUAAUAAAAAUGCUAAUUCAAAGAGCUAACUUUCGAACAACUCAAAACCAUUUCAAUAGGAUUAAAGAUCAUUCUAAAGAUUCGUUCGUUGCGUUUUCGAAAAAAAAAAAAAAGAAGAUUUAACUAAAUCGAAUGAUCGAAUAUAUAAUAUGAUUGCAACAAAACGUCACUUUCAUAAGAUCCUUUCGUUCGCACGUUAUUCUCAAUGAUCACGUGCAUAACCGAUCACUAUUUAAAAGACGUGAGUUAGGUGUGUCACUUUGUAAGGUACAACACUACCACCAACCCCGUUUCUUUCAAAAUAGCCGAGAAAAAAUGUAUGUACAUACGUCAUUGAAUAUGAAAUG